GAUGAACGCUAGCGGCAGGCUUAAUACAUGCAAGUCGUGGGGCAGCAUGAGUGUAGCAAUACAUUUGAUGGCGACCGGCAAACGGGUGCGGAACACGUACACAACCUUCCUAUAAGUGGGGAAUAGCCCAGAGAAAUUUGGAUUAAUACCCCGUAACAUAAUGAUGUGGCAUCACAUUAUUAUUAUAGCUUCGGCGCUUAUCGAUGGGUGUGCGGCUGAUUAGAUAGUUGGCGGGGUAACGGCCCACCAAGUCUACGAUCAGUAGCUGAUGUGAGAGCAUGAUCAGCCAAACGGGAACUGAGACACGGGCCCGACUCCGACGGGAGGCAGCAGUAAGGAAUAUUGGUCAAUGGACGCAAGUCUGAACCAGCCAUGCCGCGUGAAGGAUUAAGGUCCUCUGGAUUGUAAACUUCUUUUAUCUGGGACGAAAAAAGGCGAUUCUUCGUCACUUGACGGUACCAGAUGAAUAAGCACCGGCCAACUCCGUGCCAGCCGCCGCAGUAAUAC
rnacentral:rRNA from 1 species